CUCAGAUUGAACGCUGGCGGCAGGCUUAACACAUGCAAGUCGAGCGGAGUGAUGGUGCUUGCACUAUCACUUAGCGGCGGACGGGUGAGUAAUGCUUAGGAAUCUGCCUAUUAGUGGGGGACAACAUCUCGAAAGGGAUGCUAAUACCGCAUACGUCCUACGGGAGAAAGCAGGGGAUCACUUGUGACCUUGCGCUAAUAGAUGAGCCUAAGUCGGAUUAGCUAGUUGGUGGGGUAAAGGCCUACCAAGGCGACGAUCUGUAGCGGGUCUGAGAGGAUGAUCCGCCACACUGGGACUGAGACACGGCCCAGACUCCUACGGGAGGCAGCAGUGGGGAAUAUUGGACAAUGGGGGGAACCCUGAUCCAGCCAUGCCGCGUGUGUGAAGAAGGCCUUAUGGUUGUAAAGCACUUUAAGCGAGGAGGAGGCUCUUUUGGUUAAUACCCAGAAUGAGUGGACGUUACUCGCAGAAUAAGCACCGGCUAACUCUGUGCCAGCAGCCGCGGUAAUACAGAGGGUGCAAGCGUUAAUCGGAUUUACUGGGCGUAAAGCGCGCGUAGGCGGCCAAUUAAGUCAAAUGUGAAAUCCCCGAGCUUAACUUGGGAAUUGCAUUCGAUACUGGUUGGCUAGAGUGUGGGAGAGGAUGGUAGAAUUCCAGGUGUAGCGGUGAAAUGCGUAGAGAUCUGGAGGAAUACCGAUGGCGAAGGCAGCCAUCUGGCCUAACACUGACGCUGAGGUGCGAAAGCAUGGGGAGCAAACAGGAUUAGAUACCCUGGUAGUCCAUGCCGUAAACGAUGUCUACUAGCCGUUGGGGCCUUUGAGGCUUUAGUGGCGCAGCUAACGCGAUAAGUAGACCGCCUGGGGAGUACGGUCGCAAGACUAAAACUCAAAUGAAUUGACGGGGGYCCGCACAAGCGGUGG
rnacentral:rRNA from 1 species